rnacentral:rRNA from 1 species
AGUAACGCGUGAGGAACCUGCCUCAAAGAGGGGGACAACAGUUGGAGACGGCUGCUAAUACCGCAUAAGCCCACGGCUCGGCAUCGAGCAGAGGGAAAAGGAGCAAUCCGCUUUGAGAUGGCCUCGCGUCCGAUUAGCUAGUUGGUGAGGUAAUGGCCCACCAAGGCAACGAUCGGUAGCCGGACUGAGAGGUUGAACGGCCACAUUGGGACUGAGACACGGCCCAG